AUUGAACGCUGGCGGCAGGCCUAACACAUGCAAGUCGAGCGGCAGCGGAAAGUAGCUUGCUACUUUGCCGGCGAGCGGCGGACGGGUGAGUAAUGUAUGGGAAACUGCCUGAUGGAGGGGGAUAACUACUGGAAACGGUAGCUAAUACCGCAUAACGUCGCAAGACCAAAGAGGGGGACCUUCGGGCCUCGUGCCAUCAGAUGUGCCCGGAUGGGAUUAGCUAGGAGGUGGGGUAACGGCUCACCUAGGCGACGAUCCCUAGCUGGUCUGAGAGGAUGACCAGCCACACUGGAACUGAGACACGGUCCAGAUUCCUACGGGAGGCAGCAGUGGGGAAUAUUGCACGAUGGGCGCAAGCCUGAUGCAGCCAUGCCGCGUGUAUGAAGAAGGCCUUCGGGUUGUAAAGUACUUUCAGCGGGGAGGAAGGCGUUGUGGUUAAUAACCACAGCGAUUGACGUUACCCGCAGAAGAAGCACCGGCUAACUCCGUGCCAGCCGCCGCAGUAA
rnacentral:rRNA from 1 species